rnacentral:rRNA from 1 species
CGCUUAACAUGCAGUCGAGCGGUAGGCCUUUCGGGGUACACGAGCGGCGAACGGGUGAGUAACACGUGGGUGAUCUGCCCUGCACUUCGGGAUAAGCCUGGGAAACUGGGUCUAAUACCGGAUAUGACCUCAGGUUGCAUGACUUGGGGUGGAAAGAUUUAUCGGUGCAGGAUGGGCCCGCGGCCUAUCAGCUUGUUGGUGGGGUAAUGGCCUACCAAGGCGACGACGGGUAGCCGACCUGAGAGGGUGACCGGCCACACUGGGACUGAGACACGGCCCAGACUCCUACGGGAGGCAGCAGUGGGGAAUAUUGCACAAUGGGCGAAAGCCUGAUGCAGCGACGCCGCGUGAGGGAUGACGGCCUUCGGGUUGUAAACCUCUUUCAGCAGGGACGAAGCGCAAGUGACGGUACCUGCAGAAGAAGCACCGGCUAACUACGUGCCAGCAGCCGCGGUAAUACGUAGGGUGCAAGCGUUGUCCGGAAUUACUGGGCGUAAAGAGUUCGUAGGCGGUUUGUCGCGUCGUUUGUGAAAACCAACAACUCAACUGCUGGCUUGC